rnacentral:tRNA from 1 species
GAUGCCGUGGCCGCUGGAAUGGCAUAGGCUCGCAAAGCUGAAGUUGUGGGUUCGAGUCCCACCGGUAUCG